rnacentral:rRNA from 1 species
UUCAGGGUAAACCUAAGAAACCCAAAAGAUCGAACGGGGAGAUUCAUCGUCAGCGACGUUGGCUUCGCGUCGGUGGGCGAUGUCGUGCGGGGCCUCGCGGCUCGCGCGCUUGACACGCUGCCGUGCGUCGAUGUCCGACUGUCGUCGUCGUGCACUUCUCCCCUAGUAGAACGUCGCGACCCGCUGGGUGUCUGUCUACGGCCCGGGUGCGGUGCAUGACGCGUCGCCGGUAAAACGGUACGCCGUCAAACCCUCGGUCGCCCGGCCGGCUCCCCGGCGGUACACGCAAGGUAUCAGGCCGCAUAAUCUCUAUCUCGGUAGAGUAUAUGCGUCGAGGCCGUCGCAAGCGCGCGCCACGGUACACGGAGGAACGGACUUGGCGCCGUCACCGGUCCUGGCCCGCUGUUGGUCGUACGGUUAACCUUCGACAGGCCUACGAACGUCCCCCCAACGGGGGGACCGAUACCGGUCGGCGACGCUACUGCUUUGGGUACUCUUAGGACCCGUCUUGAAACACGGACCAAGGAGUCUAACAUGUACGCGAGUCAUUGGGACUAGCGAGUGAAACCUAAAGGCGAAAUGAAAGUGAAGGUCGUCCYUGGUUGUCGACCGAGGGAGGAUGGGCCGCGUUGCGACGCGGCUCCGCACUCCCGGGGCGUCUCGUUCUCAUUGCGAGAAGAGGCGCACCCAGAGCGUACACGUUGGGACCCGAAAGAUGGUGAACUAUGCCUGGUCAGGACGAAGUCAGGGGAAACCCUGAUGGAGGUCCGUAGCGAUUCUGACGUGCAAAUCGAUCGUCGGAACUGGGUAUAGGGGCGAAAGACUAAUCGAACCAUC